GACGAACGCUGGCGGCGUGCUUAACACAUGCAAGUCGAACGGAAAGGCCCCUUUGGGGGUACUCGAGUGGCGAACGGGUGAGUAACACGUGAGUAACCUGCCCUUGACUUCGGGAUAACUUCAGGAAACUGGGGCUAAUACCGGAUAGGAAUCCUUGCUGCAUGGUGGGGGUUGGAAAGCUUCGGCGGUUUGGGAUGGACUCGCGGCUUAUCAGCUUGUUGGUGGGGUAGGGGCUUACCAAGGCUUUGACGGGUAGCCGGCCUGGGAGGGCGACCGGCCACAUUGGGACUGAGAUACGGCCCAGACUCCUACGGGAGGCAGCAGUGGGGAAUAUUGCACAAUGGGCGGAAGCCUGAUGCAGCAACGCCGCGGGCGGGAUGACGGCCUUCGGGUUGUAAACCGCUUUCAGCAGGGGCGAAGCUUGUGGUGACGGUACCUGCAGAAGAAGCACCGGCUAACUACGUG
rnacentral:rRNA from 1 species